AAAAAUUUAGUUAAUAUUUAUAACAUUAGUAUGUCAAACUGAAAUAAUUUAAAUUAAAUAAUUUUUG
rnacentral:tRNA from 1 species